UACGAAGGGGGCUAGCGUUGCUCGGAAUUACUGGGCGUAAAGGGCGCGUAGGCGGACAGUUUAGUCAGAGGUGAAAGCCCAGGGCUCAACCUUGGAAUUGCCUUUGAUACUGGCGAUCUCGAGUCCGGGAGAGGUGAGUGGAACUGCGAGUGUAGAGGUGAAAUUCGUAGAUAUUCGCAAGAACACCAGUGGCGAAGGCGGCUCACUGGCCCGGUACUGACGCUGAGGUGCGAAAGCGUGGGGAGCAAACAGG
rnacentral:rRNA from 1 species